rnacentral:rRNA from 1 species
AUUGAACGCUGGCGGCAUGCCUUACACAUGCAAGUCGAACGGCAGCACGGGAGCAAUCCUGGUGGCGAGUGGCGAACGGGUGAGUAAUGUAUCGGAACGUGCCCAGUCGUGGGGGAUAACGUAGCGAAAGCUACGCUAAUACCGCAUACGAUCUAUGAGUGAAAGCGGGGGACCGUAAGGCCUCGCGCGAUUGGAGCGGCCGAUAUCAGAUUAGGUAGUUGGUGGGGUAAAGGCCUACCAAGCCGACGAUCUGUAGCUGGUCUGAGAGGACGACCAGCCACACUGGGACUGAGACACGGCCCAGACUCCUACGGGAGGCAGCAGUGGGGAAUUUUGGACAAUGGGCGCAAGCCUGAUCCAGCAAUGCCGCGUGCAGGAUGAAGGCCUUCGGGUUGUAAACUGCUUUUGUACGGAGCGAAAAGGCUCUCUCUAAUACAGGGGGCUCAUGACGGUACCGUAAGAAUAAGCACCGGCUAACUACGUGCCAGCCGCCGCAGUAAAAC